UGAGGAAUAUUGGACAAUGGGCGGGGGCCUGAUCCAGCCAUGCCGCGUGCAGGAAGACUGCCCUAUGGGUUGUAAACUGCUUUUGUACGGGAAGAAUAAGGUCCACGUGUGGACCGAUGACGGUACCGUAAGAAUAAGGAUCGGCUAACUCCGUGCCAGCAGCCGCGGUAAUACGGAGGAUCCAAGCGUUAUCCGGAAUCAUUGGGUUUAAAGGGUCCGUAGGCGGGCAUAUAAGUCAGUGGUGAAAGUUUGCGGCUCAACCGUAAAAUUGCCAUUGAUACUGUGUGCCUUGAAUCGCCGUGAAGUGGCCGGAAUGUGUAGUGUAGCGGUGAAAUGCAUAGAUAUUACACAGAACACCGAUUGCGAAGGCAGGCCACUAACGGCGCAUUGACGCUAAGGGACGAAAGCGUGGGUAGCGAACAGGAUUAGAUACCCCCGUAGUCC
rnacentral:rRNA from 1 species